CUUCAAUGAAUAUUGCUAAGUGAAAGAAGCCAAUCUUAGAACGCUAUGUACUUUAUGAUUCCAUUUAUGUGAGGUUCUGAAAAAGAAAACGCUAUAGAAACAGAAGCCAAAUCAGUGGUUGCCAGGGAAGCACAUCUUCCCUCAGUCAAAUCUUAACAUGACUGCAGACUUGUAAGUAACCACGGGCCGGAGGACCCAGAUAAGCUGAACCAGGGUGCCUGACCCACGGAAACUGUGAGAAAUAGAAAAUGUAAUGGUUUUUUAUUUUCCAAAAUAUUUUUGGUUGGAACUCCACUUGAAAAAUAAAGGAGACCUCCUCAAAGGACGACAAGCUUCCACGAUGAAAAACAAUUGCUCUACAACAAGGAAGUCUUUUUUUUUUUUUUUUUUUUGCAUGGGGAGGGGAAAAAAGCAACCUUACCAUUCCCUCUCCCAUAUGCUUCAACUUUCAUGUCUGUUUUGCCAUCUAUUCCAUUAACACUAUGAUUAAUGAAAGCUCUCCAGAAUUUCAAAUACCUUGAAAAGUAGCCAACGCCUGCACUUUGGAAGCUACACUGAAAAUAAAUAACAAUAAAAACAGGGUGAUCCAGGCUUUUGAAGUCUUUAAAGACAUCAGCCCUGUGAUCUUUGUACCACUGCUGCGGAAAAGAGGACAACAUUUCACAUUUCUGGCAUUACUAAUGACAGCACGGCAACUGAAAGAAAGCAUGAAUUUCUGGGAGUAGCAUUAGGAUACAGGAUUCCUGCUGAGCUCACCAGUUCCUUGCUCUGCACAGCUGCCUUCUCAGUUGGGGGUUUUAAACCAGCACUGUGAGAAAGACAGAAAUGACCAUGAUGCAUUUUCCUCACUAUGAGAAAAAGUUACAAGUCUGUGAAGAGAUUUUCAUAAGAGGCAAGAGAUGCAAACAUUUGAAAGAAGGAAAAAGGAAGAUGUAAACCCAACUUCCCAACCCAAAGGUAUAUGAGGUCUAAGACACCUUAAGUUGGAGGAACUUCUCCAAAGAAAGGGAGAAUGAGUCUUUGAGCAGAAAGGAAGGAUGCUGGUUCCUCAGGGACAUGACACAGGUGGCUACAGCUCUCACCAUCUGCUUUGAACCCUCUCUCCAGUCUGCUCUCCCGAAUUUCUCUGCCUUUGGCAUCAUUGCUUGGACGCUUUCUCUCCGCCUGGCCCCAGCAGAUUGAUUACCUAUUUGGACAGUCUUCUGUUCUUUGGACAAUCGCCGUGACAUGUGCUGCUUCUCAAAUUACCCUAAUGGCAACUGUGACCAGCAGUGAGUGGGGGCCCGUCUUCCAACAAAGCUCCCAGGACUCUCACUGUGCCUGCUUGAGGAGGGGUGUUGAGAGUUCACGGUGUGUUCUUAUGUUAAGCAAAUUUUGUGUUCAAAUUUCUUAGGAAAACUGAGACAUGAUUAAUACAUUGGGGAUAUUUUAUAAUACCCAGGACCAUAUAAGGAUAAAGUAUGAAUGCUAGAGGGUUAUAGAUAUUAAGCAUUUAUGGUGCUCAAUUAUCAACAUAGUUAUUUGGUGAUGUGAAAAUGUAGCUCCUCUCAGAAGAUAACUUGCUGAGGUUUAAUCUCUCAUAUUUUACGAAGAAUCAGGCCAUUAUCCUGAGCUUUCCUAUUUAUUGAAUCACCAUUGUGCCUUCUGUAGUGUAGGAUCAUGCCUGGUUAGAAUCAUCAUUAUUUUGGGAAUCUAUUUUUUGGGAGUAAAUUUGAAAGUAGGAAACAAUUUAGCUUUAACUGCUGGAGUUUCUUAGAGGGACUAGCAGCAGACCUGGUUUUGCCCAAUUUUCAGGGAAAAUAACUGAUUUGUCUUACCAGAUCUUCCAUCCAAUACAGAAAUUCCAUGAACAUGUUAGUGUUGACAAUGUGUGUAAUGAAUACUGAGGAUACCAUAUUUCAUUUAUCACAGAUGUUUGAAUAAACAUUAUUUUAUGAUGAAGCAGUACAGCACUUAGAAUCAGAAACAUCUGGAAUCUGUUUCUUCCUCUGUCAAUAACUCAUACUGUCACCUUGAGAAAUUAUUUCCUUUUCAGGCCUUCAGUUUCUAUGUCUGUAAAUUUGGUCUAUUGCUCUCUUUCUUACAGUAGACAUAAUCAUUUUCAUUAAAAUAUAGCCUAAAGUUAUAAAAUUGACUUUAUUUUAGUUUCACAAUACUGUUAAAUAUACACAAAAUUUACAUAGUGAUUUUUCUCUUGUAGCUGUUUCAAUGAUGUUUAAACAAAGAGAAACUUUUGGUAGAGUAGCUACAUGCAUGCCAACACUUCUAUUUUAAAGUGCUUUCCGGCCUUUGUUUUAUGUGUAAAAAGGGAUAAAAAUUCUAUGCGUUACCAGCAUGUAGUAGACGCAAAUAACAAAACAAACUCCAGUGCUAUCAACACUUAUGGAAAAAAUGAGGGUUGAACAUAUCAGAAAUUCUCAAACUGUAUUCUUUCAAAUUCCAUUCUUACGUGGUCAUGGCCUCAUGGAUGAGAGACCCUCUUUCAUUAAGGCACCAUUGUUGUUGCACUCUAUUUUAAGACAAAUUAAUUUAACAUCUAUUUAUUUACAUUUCAUCAGUAUCAUUAGAAGAAUGAUACCCACAGAAAGAAUCACUCAGCUGUUGCAAAAUCAUUUUCUUCAGUUAAAACGCUUGCAUGUUUAUUUUUGGAAAGUUAUCUUAUUAUUAGAUGGAAUAAUAUCAUUUCCCUUCUCAAAUUGCUUUAUCCAGGAUGAAUAUUUUCUAAUAAAACACCGGUCUUUACUAUAUUCAUCCCAGUAGCUUCCGAAGUUCUUUUAGGUAUAGUGAUAUUUCUAUUCUUGCUGUUAGGAUACAGAUAAACUCUCUGUUUUAAAUCAUCAAGCAAAUUAUGUCUUUGGUUGCUAAAGAAAAAAUAUAGCUUAGUGCUUUUCAAAAUUUAAAUAUUUGACUGUACAAGGCAAACACACUCUUCUAUGAAAAAUGACAGUGUACUCAUUAUCAAUUUCUUCAUAAUAAUUAAAGAUAGGUAACAUUUUGCAGCUUCAAAGAAGUUUAUUGCACCCACAAUAGUGGUCAAGGAGUCCUUCAAUUUUGAAGGAAAAACUUUCCAGAAGAUAUAUAAAACUUCAGCAUACACCAGGUGAUUCUGGCUUGUGAUUCAUCUUCCUUUAAGUGGGCAACAUAUCGCACAUAUUUUUUUUUCUUGCCUUAUCAUCUCAUCAGUAGAGCUAUGUAGAACUAACUAAGUAGAACUAAGUUUUGCUAUAUGAUUCCAUAAGAAAUCUCCGACAGGAGAAGGUAUAAAAGUAACUGCAGUGGUUCACAGAAUUAUAACUCUUCUAUGACCCUUACCAAACAAAUAUAAAGACUGACUUUAAUCCCAGCACCAAAAGAUCUGUGAAGAUGAGUGCCUGUUAUAAGAGGACCAAUAUUGGUCUCCCAUUCUAUGAGAGAAUUUGUCUGUCACAAGUUCCAGACUAGAUCUGGUAAUUAGAGCAGGAAAAUCAUUAUGUUCCUUUUUGCAUUUGACUCCAAUAGUAUUUUUUUAAAAAAUUUCCAAUGCAUAAGAAUCACUUAUUUUUUUAUCUAUGGUACACAGCUUCC
rnacentral:lncRNA from 1 species